GUUAUAGAUGAACUACUGGAUGAGUUGUUUGGUGCUGCAUGGUUCACUAAACUGGAUUUAAGAGCUGGUUACCAUCAAAUUCGGUUAGCUUCUGGAGAAGAGUACAAGACUACUUUCUCUACACAUGUUGGUCACUACGAAUACAAUGUGCUUGCCUUUGGAUUGAGUGGCGGUCCUGGCACCUUCCAGGGUUCUCUGAAUAAUACACUAAAACCUGUAAAAAGAAAGAAUACACUCUGUUUCUUCGAUGAUAUCCUCAUCUUUAGCAAAACUUACAAGGAGCACCUUGCCCAUGUUAGAAAGGUACUGGAAUUACUCAGAGCUUAUUAG
rnacentral:rRNA from 1 species